rnacentral:lncRNA from 1 species
AUAGAUCGUCCAAGGCAGCAAUUAGAAUCAGCAACUCGGAGAGGAAAAAAAGCUGUUAGCGGAAUGGAGGCUGACCAUUAUCUGUAGUAAAGAAUCGGAAGUACAGUACAAAAAUAAAUUACCGAAACGCAACAUGCGUGAAUUUCACACAAAAAAAUGAAGUUGAGGGAAAGAAGCCAGACAUGGAAGAGUUCAUAUUGCGUGGUUCCAUUUAAAAACUAGCCCAUGGUGUUAAUGAGCAUAGUGGGGAGGACAAUGACAUGAAAGAGCCACCAGGGGGCUUUUGAGGUUCAGGUAAUGUUUCUUGAUUUGGACACUGAUUAUAGAUAGGUGGGUUCACUUUAGAAAUCUCAUUGAGUUGUAAACGUAUAUUUAUGUACGUAGUUUUUUCUGUAGAUUAUGCUUAAGGCCCGGCGAAGGGGAAUUUGCCCAGGUAAUGGAAAUAUUACACCGAUACAUAGAAUUGUCAAAGUUCAUGGGAUGAACUCCUAAGAGCUGUGUAUUUUAUCGUAUAAAUUUUUUUAAGUGUCCAACCAAUAGCCUGGAAUUAUUAAGUACAUAAUUAAAUAAAAACAAAUAUCCCAUGGACCUAAUGCAGUGAACAGUUACCUCGUUCUCUUAAUUGCUCAGGCUAAGGACUCAUACCUGAGUCUUCUAUCUCAGGCCUUACAUCUUAUAUAACAAGCCUUACUGGCUUAAUCUUCAAAAUAUGUAGCGAAUUUAACGAGUUCUCACAACCUCUGCUUCUACCACCUGACGGGGUUUGGGACAUGCUACCCAAAAAUAUGGCACCUAGACAUAUUGAAUACUUUGAACUGAAGGAAUUUGAGAAAGAACAUAUGCAGGAAUGUCUCUAACUUUCUUGCACCUUUCUGCUCUGAAGCAGGACGUAAUACCCUCAUGUGAGAAUUGCCCUGUCUAUACCUGGAAUAAAAGUAACAUCUUUAUCUCUGAAAACACAGGGACGUAGAGACGAAUAUGAACAUCAGGCCUUGCUAAGUUUCCCCCAGUUUAUUACCCUUAGAUCACAGUCUUUUAGCCCCAUCACAUUUUCCCACAAUUCUCCAUUCUUCUUCAAACCUACUCUAAACAACACUAAGGUUAACUAUUUAUUCGGGUCUUCAUUUCUUUAUGAAGUUUCCAUGUUAUGUAAAACUAACAUUAAUAUUUAUGCUUUUCUCUUGUUAAUUUGUCUUUUGUUACAGGAUCCCCAGCCAGUGAGCCUAAAAUGGGUAGAAGGAAAAGAUAUUUCUUACCCUACGCACCCAGGUCCAAGUCAUCAUUAUUUUGUCUGAAAUUUAUCUUCCUAACUGAUUUCUCUGCUUCCCCAUUGUGCCUUAAGAGUUAGUUUUCCACAGAGCAGCUCGAGAUAUCUUUUCAGAUCAUUAUAUCCCUUUGCUUAAAAACCUCUAACAGCUUCCUAUUAGGCUUAGAAUAAAGUACAAACUCCUUAAUGUGAACUUGAGUGUUUUACGUAUCUUAUCUCACCUUUAUGAGCUUCAUGUCAGAACCCAUCUCUCACCACUCUUCCUUCCCCGCUCCCUGAUUUAAACAGUCUGGCACUUUACUUAUUCAUUGAACCCACUGGGUUUGCUCUUGCCUCCAAGUCUGUACCCAGCUUUCUCUCUACCUGUAAUCCUCUUCCUCUAGGUCAUCACACAGAUCGUUUCUUCACUCUAUUUAGGUCUUUCAGAAGUAACACUAAGGGAGGCUUUUCCAGACAAUAUUAUGCAAAUAUAAAUGGACAUGUGACAAAUACUUUAUUCGACUUAUUAGUUACUGAGAGUGUAUUUGAGUAGCCAGGUAUUUAUAGGCAAUUUAACAAUGUAAUGUUAGUAUAAGGUGGCAAGGUUAGAUAUAAACCUGUUAAUGUCUCACAGGGUAAUAAACUAUAACUUUUGGUGUUAUCUGUUCCACUGGAAAGGAAGUAGGGAUUUGCAUUCUUACUGGACAAAAAUCUACAAGUUAAUGUAUAGAUUCAGUAUAGGACUUUUAAAUCAAUAGUGAACGAUGAAAUGAACAAAGUACAAUCCCCUAGUCCUUGGUUUGACACUGAAAGGACAUGCCACUCACCUUUUUGCCUUGUUUCCAAAGUUUGGAAUAAUUUUCCUUUCAAAAUGAAAUUAUUUCUCAUUCAGUUGUCCUAUUGCAGGCAGCCUUUACUGCUUCCCCCAGUUAAUGUACCUGUCAAGCUUACUCAUGAUUUCCUAACUGCCAAAUUCAAUGGAUAUUUUUAAUUUUUUUUUUGCUAUGACUCAUACUGUUCCCUUCGGGCUUGUCAGCAGAUAAAUGACCUUCUGGGGACUGUGCAAAAUAUGGAAUGCUUAAUGAAUUUGUGUGUUAUUCUUGUGCAGGGGACACAACAGUCUUCUCUGUAGAUUACAGUUUUAGUGUAUGUGCUGUUGAAGUGAGCACUUCUGAGUAAUUUUGAUUGUUUUACUUUUUAUGUAAAAUUUCACAUUGUUUAAAACACCAGAUGGGGGCCAGGCAUGGUGGCUCAUGCCUGCAAUCCCAGCACUUUGGGAGGCUGAGGCGAGUGGAUUGCUUGGGCUCAGGAGUUUGAGACCAGCCUUGCCAUGUGGCAAAACCUUGUCUCUAUAAAAAAUAGAAAUAUCAGCCAGGCAUGGUGGUGUAUGCCUGUAGUCCCAGCUACUUGGGAGGCUGAGGUGGGAGGCACUUGAGCCUGGGAGGUGGAGGUUGAAGUGAGCUGAGAUCACGCCACUGCACUCCAGCCUGGGUGACAGAGCAAGACCAUCUCAGAAAACAAACAAACAAAAAAUACCACAUGGCCAAAUGAAAGAUGUCUGUGGUCUGAAUUUGGGCCAAAAGCUGUAAUCUUACAGUCUUUGAUUAUUUUUUAAUACAUGCUGAAUUCCAAGAGGAGCUGACAAAUCUCUUGAGAUUUCACUUGGGUUCCAUGGAUUCCCAGCACAAAAUGCAAAUGCAAAUGAGAUAUGAUUGGGAUUCUCUGCACACUAUCUCCACUUUCAUAAGUGCCUCUGAAGUUUAGUUUGAAUUUUAUAGUAUCUCCUACCUUGCUGUACCUUAAAGGACUAACAGCAGCUACCUGACCCAGGAUUAGCCAGUCAUAUUUUUUCCAGAAUUUGUAAUUGGAACAAUUGAGAUGGUAGUCUUCUGCUGGUAGUUUGAAGAGAGGAUAUGUAAACUUGGUAGCUGUGUACUUAGAAGCAGAGAAAGCCUGUUUUCAGAGAGAAGAAUGAAGCAGGUAAGUCAUCUGGAAGGACAAGCAGAAGCACAAUUUUGGGAACAGUUGCUUUCAGAGUCCUGAUGGCAUUCCAGCCCCUUGUCCUAGUGCCAGUUCAGGCCCAAGUGUUUGGCCUUUGGGACCUAUGAUACAGAUAUCCUAUUUCCUUUUAAUUAAUUGCCUCUUAAAAUUACUAUUAUUAAGCUAGCUUGCAAGGGUUUCUGUUACGUGGAAUCAAGGAACCUCAGUAGAGAGGAAAAUGAAGCACUUUGUGGUGGUGCUGCACAGGGUAUCAUUUUGCAGGGUAUAUACUGUGUGUUUUCUACGUUGACUGGAGUCUGGGGUCAGGUGUAAGAAGUGUUACAUAAACAUUGGGUUCAAAUGAGUCAGAAUAAAGUCAACUAAAAAAAUAAAAAAGACAUAC